GCAGCAUAGGAGCUUGCUCCUGAUGGCGAGUGGCGAACGGGUGAGUAAUAUAUCGGAACGUGCCCUAGAGUGGGGGAUAACUAGUCGAAAGACUAGCUAAUACCGCAUACGAUCUACGGAUGAAAGUGGGGGAUCGCAAGACCUCAUGCUCCUGGAGCGGCCGAUAUCUGAUUAGCUAGUUGGUGGGGUAAAAGCCUACCAAGGCAACGAUCAGUAGCUGGUCUGAGAGGACGACCAGCCACACUGGGACUGAGACACGGCCCAGACUCCUACGGGAGGCAGCAGUGGGGAAUUUUGGACAAUGGGGGCAACCCUGAUCCAGCAAUGCCGCGUGAGUGAAGAAGGCCUUCGGGUUGUAAAGCUCUUUUGUCAGGGAAGAAACGGUAGUAGCGAAUAACUAUUACUAAUGACGGUACCUGAAGAAUAAGCACCGGCUAACUACGUGCCAGCAGCCGCGGUAAUACGUAGGGUGCAAGCGUUAAUCGGAAUUACUGGGCGUAAAGCGUGCGCAGGCGGUUGUGUAAGUCAGAUGUGAAA
rnacentral:rRNA from 1 species